ACAAUCAAAAUAUAGAACAAUUCCCAGAUCAGAAAAAAAGAAAAAGCGAAUCAGAAACAAAACCCAAACCAAAACCAAUCAAAAACAAAAAAAUCCCAUCUCGUAUUUUAAUUAGCAACAAACCAAUAGAUGAUGGAAUCACAUAGAGAAACAAAAUUCGUAAAAAAUAAACUAAAAUUAAAUAUUAGUUUGAUUAAAAUUACUUUGAAGAAAAUCAAGCAGAGACAAGCAUUAAAAAUAGAAGAAGAACCUUUGUGAGAGGUAGACCAAAGGACUCUGCAAAGAAACUCCUCCUUGCUUCCUAAAAAGAGGCAGAUCAAAAGAAGCUGAUAGAUAAUUGAGUGAGAAAAAAAAAAUUGAGUUAUUUAUGAAACUUUUCAUCACAUUGACUGACUACAAGUCUACAAGUCAAGUCUUUAGAUAAUAAUAAUUAUAUCUUUAAUCACAAAAACAUAAUUUUUUUUUUGUUAUAAUAUGUAUGAGUUAUUUAUUUUUUAAAUUAAUUUAACUCUUUAUAAGAAGUUUUUGUCCAAAUCUAAUUUACCUGAUCCCAAGAUAUAAUUAUAUAAUCUCAUUAUAUAUCUUAUAUCUUUAAUUUCCUGUGAAUUGAAUUGAGUUUGGAUAAGAAAAAUUCAUAAAUUUAAAAGUAUCAAUUAUUUAUUUAUAUUUUAAUUAAUUCAUCUAUCUCAAAAAUAAUUUUUUUUAUUUAUUAUAAGGCUCAAUUAAGGUAUUAACUAAACUUGGUUCCAACUUAAUAACUUUUAAUUAUUCCUAUUUUUUUUUCCAUUGUCACCCUAUUACUAUGAUUAUUAUGUUAAC
rnacentral:misc_RNA from 1 species